rnacentral:rRNA from 1 species
CAGUCGCCGCGGUAAUACGAAGGGUGCAAGCGUUACUCGGAAUUACUGGGCGUAAAGCGUGCGUAGGUGGUGGUUUAAGUCCGUUGUGAAAGCCCUGGGCUCAACCUGGGAAUUGCAGUGGAUACUGGGUCACUAGAGUGUGGUAGAGGAUAGUGGAAUUUCCGGUGUAGCAGUGAAAUGCGUAGAGAUCGGAAGGAACAUCUGUGGCGAAGGCGACUAUCUGGGCCAACACUGACGCUGAGGCACGAAAGCGUGGGGAGCAAACAGGAUUAGAUACCCCCGUAGUCCCUGUCUCUUAUAA